GGGGGCAGCACUGCCAAAGCCUUGGCCGUGACCCACGACAAGGCCGUCGGCUCCGUACUGUGGACUCGUGAUGAUGCUGAGCGAGAAAGAAAAAUACGCAAAUUGCAUGGAAAACAAUUAAAAGCUGUUCACCAAAGCGGAAAUCAAAUCAAAAAACGCGCCUCAACACAUUGCCCCAAAAGUUACUUUAAUAAUUUGAGAUGAUGCAUCACAUUAUCUUUCUUCAAACACCGAAGAAACACAAGGCGACAGAAGAACGUUUAGAAAGAACCGACGAACAUGAUAUAUUAUAAUUAGUUAUUAAGCAUUUAAAUGUUUGAUUUUAACUUUACUUUAAGUAUUGCAUGUAACU